rnacentral:rRNA from 1 species
AUUGAACGCUGGCGGCCGGCCUAACACAUGCAAGUCGAGCGAGCGGCGGAAGGGUGAGUAAUGUAUGGGGAAUGCCAGAAAGAGGGGGAUACAUACUGGAAACGGUGGCUAAUACCGCAUACUAUCGGAUAACACAUAUGGGAUUAGCUAGUAGGUGGGGUACAGGCUCACCGAGGCGACGAUCUCUAGCUGGUCUGAGAGGAGGAUCAGCCACACUGGGACUGAGACACGGCCCAGACUCCUACGGAGGCAGCAGUGGGGAAUAUUUCACAAUGGGCGCAAGCCUGAUGCAGCCAUGCCGCGUGUAUGAAGAAGGCCUUAGGGUUGUAAAGUACUUUCAGCGGGGAGGCGUUACCCGCAGAAGAAGCACCGGCUAACUCCGUGCCAGCAGCCGCGGUAAUAC